rnacentral:rRNA from 1 species
CUAUGACGCUGGCGGCAGGCCUAACACAUGCAAGUCGAACGGUAGCACAGAGAGCUUGCUCUCGGGUGACGAGUGGCGGACGGGUGAGUAAUGUCUGGGAAACUGCCUGAUGGAGGGGGAUAACUACUGGAAACGGUAGCUAAUACCGCAUAACGUCGCAAGACCAAAGAGGGGGACCUUCGGGCCUCUUGCCAUCAGAUGUGCCCAGAUGGGAUUAGCUAGUAGGUGGGGUAACGGCUCACCUAGGCGACGAUCCCUAGCUGGUCUGAGAGGAUGACCAGCCACACUGGAACUGAGACACGGUCCAGACUCCUACGGGAGGCAGCAGUGGGGAAUAUUGCACAAUGGGCGCAAGCCUGAUGCAGCCAUGCCGCGUGUAUGAAGAAGGCCUUCGGGUUGUAAAGUACUUUCAGCGGGGAGGAAGGCGAUAAGGUUAAUAACCUUGUCGAUUGACGUUAA